UUUCGAAUUAUUCCCAAUGGACGAAAGUCUGAGGGUGCAAUACCGCGUGGAGGAUGAAGGCCUUAGGGUCGUAAACUCCUGUCGUUAGGGAAAAAACCGCUCACGCUAAUACUGUGAGCGCUGAUUUAACCUAAAGAGGAAGAGGUGGCUAACUCUGUGCCAGCAGCCGCGGUGAUACAGAGACCUCAAGCGUUACUCGGAUUCACUGGGCGUAAAGGGUACGUAGGUGGAGUUAUGUGUUGGAUGUGAAAACUGGGGGCUCAACCCCCAGCCUGCGUCCAAAACUAUAGCUCUUGAGUACUAUAGAGAUGAGCGGAACUGAUGGUGGAGCGGUGAAAUGCGUUGAUAUCAUCAGGAACACCAGUGGCGAAAGCGGCUUACUGGGUCUUUUCUGACGCUGAGGCACGAAAGCUAGGGUAGCGAACC
rnacentral:rRNA from 1 species